rnacentral:rRNA from 1 species
GACGAACGCUGGCGGCGUGCUUAACACAUGCAAGUCGAACGGUGAAGCGCCUUCCUUUUUGGUGGGUGUGGAUGAGUGGCGAACGGGUGAGUAACACGUGAGUAACCUGCCCCCUUCUUCUGGAUAACCGCAUGAAAGUGUGGCUAAUACGGGAUAUUCUGGGUCUGUCGCAUGAUGGGUCUGGGAAAGAUAUUGUUUCGGUUGGGGAUGAGCUCGCGGCCUAUCAGCUUGUUGGUGGGGUGAUGGCCUACCAAGGCGGUGACGGGUAGCCGGCCUGAGAGGGUGGACGGUCACACUGGGACGGAGACACGGCCCAGACUCCUACGGGAGGCAGCAGUGGGGAAUAUUGCACAAUGGGCGCAAGGCUGAUGCAGCGACGCCGCGUGAGGGAUGGAGGCCUUCGGGUUGUGAACCUCUUUCGCCAGUGAAGCAGGCCUGCCUCGUUUGUGGGUGGGUUGACGGUAGCUGGAUAAGAAGCGCCGGCUAACUACGUG